UUUUUCAGCCUCCGCAGCAGCCAGCCAUCACUAACAGAAGUAAGGGGAGAAGUCUUAGCAACUUCAUUAGACAUUGUGAGAUUGCUCUGUCCCCCAGGCUGGAGUGCAAUGGUAAAAUCUCAGCUCACUGCAACCUCCACCUCCCAGGUUCAAGCAGUUCUCCUGCCUCAGCCUCCUGAGUGGCUGGGAUUACAAGCACGCGCCAACAUGCCCCACUAAUUUUUGUAUUUUUAGUAGAGGAGGGGUUUUGCCAUGUUGGCCAGGCUGGUCUCGAACUCCUGACCUCAGAUGAUCUGCCCAUCUCAGCCUCCAACGGUGCUGGGAUUACAGGCAUGAGCCACCGCACCCAGCCGGGUGUUUCUUUACAGCAAUCAGAAAAUAGACUAAUACAGGGACAGGUGCCUGACAUGGAAGGAACAUCCAUCUUGGACUACAUGGAGUGAAAAGCAAGGGCUGAAUACGAUGGAACAAGAAGACGGAAGACGCCUGUCUUCUCAGGAUGGUGGUGCCAUUAUGCCAGCUGAAUCUAUGUGCAACAAAAAGAAACCAAGACAAGUAUCCACAAAAGGAGAAACAUGGGCCGGGCGCGGUGGCUCACGCCUAUAAUCCCAGCACUUUGGGAGGCCGAGGUGGACGGAUCACAGGGUCAGGAGAUUGAGACCAUCCUGGCUAACAUGGUGAAACCCCGUCUCUACUAAAAUACAAAAAAAAAAUUAGCUGGGCGUGGUUGCGGGCGCCUGUGGUCCCAGCUAUUCGGGAGGCUGAGGCAGGAGAAUAGCACCAACCCGGGAGGCGGAGCUUGCAGUGAGCAGAGAUUGCGCCACUGCACUCCAGCCUGGGCAACACAGACUCCGCCUCAAAAAAAAAACAAAAAACAAAAGGAGAAAUACAGGAUGUUUUACAGUGCUUGUGGUGCUUGAUUUUUAUAUCUUGUCAUUAAGCUAUGCCUUUAUUUCCUUUGUGUUAAACCUCUAUUCUUGUUUACACCUGUUUUCUAUCUGUAGUUCAAAAACAUAAUGAAUAUUUCAUCUAUGUAGUUUCUUUGUAAAGUCUUUUGAGCUCUAACC
rnacentral:lncRNA from 1 species